AAGCAUCCAAAGAUAGCGGGUGAUGAAGAAGAGCAGAGAGCUCCAUUAAACAGAGCCGUACCUUGACUUUUGAUGGAGAUAAAGAUUCUAAAGAACAAAGAUGAAGAAAGUAGGCAAGAUCACCAUUGAGCAAUUGCGCACAAUUGCUACUGAAAAGCUGGCAGAUUUAAAUUGCACAAGUAUAGAAUUAGCAAUGAGAGUUAUAGCAGGGAUGACAGCUAACAUGGGAAUUGAUAUUGACCCUCCAGUUCUUGAACCCAAAUGAAGGAACUUGUGUAGAUCCCUUUGUUUUAUAUAUAUAUUGGGGAUGACAGAAGAUGAUUGCUUCACGGUUGCCCUUCCCUAAUAAAAUUUGUACUGAAAUUAAAACAUGGAAUAGGCCAACACUUUGAAUCUCUUUUAAACAUUUUCCUGAAGUCUAAUUAGUGAUCUCAUAUUGAGGUUACUUAGUUGCU